rnacentral:rRNA from 1 species
UACGUAGGGGGCGAGCGUUGUCCGGAAUUAUUGGGCGUAAAGAGCUUGUAGGUGGUUUGUCGCGUCUGCUGUGAAAAUCCGAGGCUCAACCUCGGACUUGCAGUGGGUACGGGCAGACUAGAGUGUGGUAGGGGAGACUGGAAUUCCUGGUGUAGCGGUGGAAUGCGCAGAUAUCAGGAGGAACACCGAUGGCGAAGGCAGGUCUCUGGGCCGAAACUGACGCUGAGGAGCGAAAGCGUGGGGAGCGAACAGG